GGUUUUUUUGUCGUUUCAGUUAGGGUUUACCCCUUUUCCUUCUUCUUCACCUCUCUAGAACACAGAUGUCGAUUAGGUCUUCGAAAUCAAUCUUCCAUCUUCUUUCUCAAAGUAAUGCAACGUUACGUGUUAUCGGGUUAUCACCUUAAAACCCUCCAUUACUCUCUCACACAUGAUCUACACUCAAUGCGAUUUCUAGAUCUGCAAGGCGGUGGAGGUUCAUCUAUAAAAAAAGACUGGCCACUCCUCCUCCACUGUUCAAGUCCGUUUGUUACGUUUUUGGGAGUCUAGGACUGUCCACCAUGGUGGAGAGCGCAUGGAAGUGGAUAUGCUCCUACUGGACUCUCAGGCUGUUGACAACUUCAUGGUCUAUGAACUGAUGGAACCCGAAAUGAGUGGGGUUAAUGCAAUCAAAAUCAAAAGCUUGGAGCCAAUGGUAUCAUUGAUGCGUGCAAACCUGGGGCCAUUGUCAAUGGCAUUCGUCUCUACAAAGCGAAGAUAGAAGAGCAACAGGUAAACAUAGAUUAGACGAUGGGAGAGAUAGAAAAACAAUAAUAAAUAUUACUGAUUAUAUUUUUUUACAUUUUUCAUGGUAAGAUAAUUUUGUAAAUUUUAACACGAAAGGAAAAUAGCUCUGAAUAAAUCUUCAACUUUCUGUCUUCUUACGUACUCCAACAGUUAAUGUAUUUUCAGUGAUGUGGUACAAUAACAUGUUUAUACGUUUC